AAUCGAUACUUUAGGUUCCACGAAGCUGAUGUUGUUCAUUGAAGCUGCUAGUCUUCCUUGUCUGGGACCUUGGCACUUGUUGUUUGGGUCUUCAGAGUUACACUUGUUUACAUUUAUCCCAAUCGUGAUGAAGAGACGAGCAUCGACAUCGACAUCUUUUGGAACGUCAACCUUGUUUAGACUUCUGAGCCCAUCCAUGACAGUCUUAACAGCAAUGUUAUCAUUGAAAACAGACUCGUACGGACCCAUGGCGAUGGAGUAUCUCCCAAUGGGUUGAUCAGCUGUGAGGAGAACGUUCAUUGUCUGUCCAGGCACAAGCAUCACACGCUCUGUUGUGAAAGGUUUGGUGUACUCGCCGUCUACUUCCACUAUGGUUAACCUGUGAUUGGCUAUGGUGAAGAAGCUCUCCAUGUUGAUGCCAGCGUUUAUCAGCCUUAGCAGGUAUGUCUUCCUUGGCACUAUCUCAAGUUCAUAAACAUCUGAAAUAUAAAGAUAUUAAAACAAGGAUCAAUAAUCAUAUUCAGUCUCAUAUGUAUUACCUUUAGAGGAGCAAUUGUAGUUAGGUCCUGGCUGACCAUUAAUUGUGAAUGCAUCUGCUGGAGGAGGAGGUCCUCCACUCUCCAGUACAUGUUUUUCAAGCUCCACCACGUUCUUAAGCCAAUAUUCUCCUAGAUUAUGACAAACAACUCAGUAAAGGCAACUAGUGAAAGAGAAUAGCUUUAUAGAUUACCUAGGAGAAUUGUAUGCUCUUUGAAGGGUUUCUUGAAUGGGUAAGGAACAUUAGCUUUAGGAUAUACAAUAAGCGGACCGUAUACAGUAGCUCUAAGCCAAGAAAAGUGUGCAUGCCAAAAGAAUGUGCCCUUUUGUUGCGUCACUGUGAAGUUGUAUGUGAAUCUCUGUCCGCUCUGAAUUGGACAUUGUGUGAUGUAAGAUGGACCAUCGUACCAACAAGAUAGCUUUUGCUUAAUACCAUGCCUGUAUAUAACAGAAACAACCCUUGUUAGUCUAAUUUUUCUUCUAAGCUUUGUGUACAUAUGUAGAUGCAUACCAAUGAAUUGUGGCAUUAUAUGGGGUCAUGUUGAUAACAUUAACGACAAUGUUGUCAUCUUCUUGAGCGGUUAUCGCAAGGCCAGGGAACUUUCCGUUGAUUGUCACAAUCUCUUUUGUCUGGCACAGCCUGGUGAGUCUCUUUGUUUGUACCUGUUAGAAAUUAGAACUCUGUUUAGUAGGAAUAAUAAAAACAGAGAAACAAGUUCAUACACACAUAAAUUUGAAUAUUGUUGAUACUUGCCUUGAACUGGUAGAUUCUAGUUGCAGCAUUACACCUUCCAAUGUUCAUUACUUGAAGAAUGAACAAGCAAAAGCUAAGACGGAGCAAGGAGGAGACAGAGGAACUGGCCAUCUUUUAUUGACAAAAAAAAAAAGAGACAGGGAGAUAUAAGAGUGAAAGGUACUGAUUAAUGCACUUGGUUUAUAUAGUGUUCGAAGUCAAAAAAAAAAAGGAAACAUAAUAUAUAUACUUUGGAAAGAGAUUCAUGAUUUGGUAGAGCUGGGAAGAGGGACACUAGUGAUUAUAAGGUGUUGGGAAGGCGUGGCUUGCUUACUCGACCCCAGCGUGAGACUGAAGGCAACACACGGGUUACUCUUAAGUAGUUUAUUCUCUUUGAUUUUGUAUCAGUAAAAAAGCCUUAUACAUUACCAUGCAGGAUUCUCUACCAUACUUUGUGACAUGUAAGGGAUAUAAUACUGCUGAUUCAUCUGGACCAACCCAAGACUACAGAGCAGCUUCUUCUUCUUCUUCUUCAAGCUACCAUUUCUUUCGACCUGUCGUCAUUAUUCAUCAAACUCGGUGUAAACUGGUAAAUAUGAUUUUGAUUACUGUAUGAUUAUACAUACGAGUUUUAGGAUUAAGGUGAGGUGCAUGAUUUAGCAUCAUUAGAGAAUGUUAAUCAGUAGGGUCGUAUAUGGUUGGUUGUAUGGACAUUACACGAUGAUGUUGUUUAGAGCUUUUAGAGUGUGUUAAAAAAAAGAGGAAAGAGUAAGAAGGGAUCAAGUCCCUUGGUCGGUGUUUUGGAUGGACUUAAAUUCUUUAUUUGGUCGACUCAUCAUCAAAGUUCGUGCACGCCUUAGCUUGUCAAAAACUCAAUCUUAGACUGAAAACAUGAUGAUUAAUAUGAAUUUUGACCAAAUGAUGUUUUUACAUACUCGAAAGGUCAAAAACAUUAAUGCGUUACUUUUCAUCAAGAUCAUCUUUUAUAAUCUUUUGACUGAUACACAUUGUUGAGUUUUAACAUAUUCUUACCAACUCGUACAUAUAUACACACGAAAAACCGAUGUGAUCCACCCUUUCGUAUUAUAUUGUUUUAUCAAACAAACCGUGAUAAUAUACAUUUUUACUAUAAUCAAGAUUCACAUAUCAACAGGUCUACCUCACAAUACACAUUAAGAACACGGGCUCAUCUAAGACAUGGGCCAGGCCCAUCCGAGACAGCAACCUUCUGGAACACAAAGAGUGUUCAAUGAUCCUGGUUGGUGACAUAAGUGUGUCCGAAUGGAUUUAUAACUUGUGGUGGUGACGGCACUGUGAAGUUCGUCAGCCUCAGAGAUUCCUAACUUCUUCUUUUUUUGAGCAACUCGGAUAUUCCUAACUAUUACUGCCGAGAAGACGUGCUUAGCCUUCAAGGUUUUUAUUGAAUACGCGAUUUCUUCUCAAAUGACAUAUUCAUAUUCGUGAUUUUUUUGUAAUGUAAAGUUUUUUUUGGUGUGUA